rnacentral:rRNA from 1 species
AGAUUGAACGCUGGCGGCAGGCCUAACACAUGCAAGUCGAGCGGCAGCACGGGUACUUGUACCUGGUGGCGAGCGGCGGACGGGUGAGUAAUGCCUAGGAAUCUGCCUGGUAGUGGGGGAUAACGCUCGGAAACGGACGCUAAUACCGCAUACGUCCUACGGGAGAAAGCAGGGGACCUUCGGGCCUUGCGCUAUCAGAUGAGCCUAGGUCGGAUCAGCUAGUUGGUGAGGUAAUGGCUCAACCAAGGCGACGAUCCGUAACUGGUCUGAGAGGAUGAUCAGUCACACUGGAACUGAGACACGGUCA